rnacentral:tRNA from 1 species
UGAGGCGUGGCCAAGUGGUAAGGCAACGGGUUUUGGUUCCGCUAUGCGGAGGUUCGGAUCCUUCCAUCCCAG